UACGUAGGGGGCAAGCGUUGUCCGGAUUUAUUGGGCGUAAAGAGCGUGUAGGCGGCCUGAAAGGUCAGCUGUGAAAACUCGAGGCUCAACCUCGAGACGUCGGUUGAAACCAUCUGGCUAGAGUCCGGAAGAGGAGUGUGGAAUUCCCGGUGUAGCGGUGAAAUGCGCAGAUAUCGGGAAGAACACCCGUGGCGAAGGCGGCACGCUGGGACGGUACUGACGCUGAGACGCGAAAGCGUGGGGAGCGAACAGG
rnacentral:rRNA from 1 species